rnacentral:rRNA from 1 species
GAUGAACGCUGGCGGCGUGCCUAAUACAUGCAAGUCGAGCGAACAGACGAGGAGCUUGCUCCUCUGGCGUUAGCGGCGGACGGGUGAGUAACACGUGGAUAACCUACCUAUAAGACUGGGAUAACUUCGGGAAACCGGAGCUAAUACCGGAUAAUAUAUUGAACCGCAUGGUUCAAUAGUGAAAGACGGUUUUGCUGUCACUUAUAGAUGGAUCCGCGCCGCAUUAGCUAGUUGGUAAGGUAACGGCUUACCAAGGCGACGAUGCGUAGCCGACCUGAGAGGGUGAUCGGCCACACUGGAACUGAGACACGGUCCAGACUCCUACGGGAGGCAGCAGUAGGGAAUCUUCCGCAAUGGGCGAAAGCCUGACGGAGCAACGCCGCGUGAGUGAUGAAGGUCUUCGGAUCGUAAAACUCUGUUAUUAGGGAAGAACAAAUGUAUAAGUAACUAUGCACGUCUUGACGGUACCUAAUCAGAAAGCCACGGCUAACUACGUG